UAAGUACCCCUUUGUCCGGAAAUACUUGUCGGAGGAAUGGAUGUAUCUAGACGUAUUUUAGUUCUAGAUAUAUCCAUUUUUAUGCAUUUCUCCGACAAGUAUUUCCGGACGGAGGGAGUAACUA
rfam:Triticum aestivum genome assembly, contig: Triticum_aestivum_CS42_TGACv1_scaffold_527368_6DL